GGGGUUAUAGCUCAGUUGGUAGAGCGUUUGCAUGGCAUGCAAUAGGUCGGCGGUUCGAAUCCGCCUUGCUCCA
rnacentral:tRNA from 1 species